AUCUAGCUGACGAGUCCGGCAUAGGACGAAACGCGCGUCCUGGAU
rnacentral:hammerhead_ribozyme from 1 species